CUACGUACCUGGCAUGGGACAUACCAUGAUCAUGAAAGUGAUUUCCCCAGGGUGAGGCUCACCCGCUGCACUCCGGGUGUGCUGACCCCUGCGAUUUCCCCAAAUGUGGGAAACUCGACUGCAUAAUUUUUGGGAGUGGGGACUGCGUUCGCGAUCUCCCCGA